GAGGAAUAUUGGGCAAUGGACGAAAGUCUGACCCAGCAACGCCGCGUGAAGGAUGAAGGCCUUCGGGUCGUAAACUUCUUUUGAGGGAGACGAGCAAGGACGGUAUCCCUCGAAUAAGCCACGGCUAACUACGUGCCAGCAGCCGCGGUAAAACGUAGGUGGCGAGCGUUAUCCGGAUUCAUUGGGCGUAAAGAGCUUGUAGGUGGUGCGAUAGGUUGGACGUGAAAACUCCGGGCUUAACUUGGAGAGGCCGUUCAAUACUGUUGUGCUAGAGGGCGUCAGAGGGAAGUGGAAUUCCUGGUGUAGCAGUGAAAUGCGUAGAUAUCAGGAGGAACACCCGUGGCGAAGGCGGCUUCCUGGGACGUACCUGACACUGAGAAGCGAAAGCUAGGGGAGCAAACG
rnacentral:rRNA from 1 species